AUACUUACCUGGCAGGGGAGAUACCAUGAUCUUGUAGGUGGUUUUCCCAGAGCAAGGCUUAUCCCAUUGUACUCCUGAAUUUGUCAUAGUGGGGGAAAGGUUUGCACUCUUCCCUA
rnacentral:snRNA from 1 species